rnacentral:lncRNA from 1 species
AGACACGGUCAUCAGACUCCCGGACUUGGAUUCAGCUCCACAUGGUGUCACCCUGGGUAAAGGAUGUACAUCUCUGCGUGCCUGGCUGUAAGCGCCCUACAGUUUGCAUGGGAAGGCAACAGGGACUUCCCUUUUGCACUGUCUGCGGGUACCGCUGUUCCAGCCCUGAGAGGACGAGGGGACGCUGCGCUGUGGGGAAAGUCCGGGUGGCAGGAGGUGGCGGGGCUCCUGGAGGAGGUGCUGGGAUGCGCUGCUGUGGCUGCAGAGAAAGGUCCCGAGGACGCAACCCGUCCCUUCCCCCGAACUGCGAAGGAGCCCCGCGGGGAGGACGGGCAGGGUCUCCCGGAGGGAGGAACAGGGGAGCCUGGAGUCUCAGGGUUGCGGGGAGCAGAGGCGUUCUGGGUGGUGAACGUCCCCAGCCUGCCCUCCCUGCUCACUGCGAGGUCGCGCACCGGCUCUGCUCCAGGCCUUCCCUCAGCCCUGGCCUCCAGGCAGUUUCCAUUUUUGCCAGGUGGAUUCUGUACGGCUUCAUUUAUUCAGAAUCUGGAUCAACAAAUGAACACUCAGAGAGGAAAAGGGUGUUUGGAGGGGUGGAG